AGUGAACGCUGGCGGUAGGCCUAACACAUGCAAGUCGAACGGCAGCACAGUAAUAGCUUUCCCCUACGGGUGGCGAGUGGAGUACGGGGGAGGUAUACAUCGGAAUCUACCUUUUCGUGGGGGAUAACGUAGGGAAACUUACGCUAAUACCGCAUACGACCUACGGGUGAAAGCAGGGGAUCUUCGGACCUUGCGCGAUUGAAUGAGCUGAUGUCUGAUUAGCUAGUUGGCGGGUUAAAGGCCCACCAAGGCGACGAUGCGUAGCUGGUCUGAGAGGAUGAUCAGCGACACUGGAACUGAGACACGGUCCAGACUCCUACGGGAGGCAGCAGUGGGGAAUAUUGGACGAUGGGCGCAAGCCUGAUCCAGCCAUACCGCGUGGGUGCAGAAGGCCUUCGGGUUGUAAAGCCCUUUUGUUGGGAAAGAAAAGCAGCAGGUUAAGACCCCGCUGUUCUGACGGUACCCGAAGAAUAAGCACCGGCUAACUUCGUG
rnacentral:rRNA from 1 species